rnacentral:rRNA from 1 species
GACAGAGGGUGCAAACGUUGUUCGGAAUUACUGGGCGUAAAGCGCGUGUAGGCGGCUUUGUAAGUCGGAUGUGAAAUCCCGCGGCUCAACCGUGGAAGUGCACCCGAAACUACAUCGCUAGAGUAUCGGAGAGGAAAGUGGAAUGCUUGGUGUAGAGGUGAAAUUCGUAGAUAUCAAGCGGAACACCGGUGGCGAAGGCGGCUUUCUGGACGAUUACUGACGCUGAGACGCGAAAGCGUGGGUAGCAAACAGG